UACAGAGGUCUCAAGCGUUGUUCGGAUUCAUUGGGCGUAAAGGGUGCGUAGGCGGCGCGGUAAGUCGGGUGUGAAAUCUCGGAGCUUAACUCCGAAACUGCAUUCGAUACUGCCGUGCUUGAGGACUGGAGAGGAGACUGGAAUUUACGGUGUAGCGGUGAAAUGCGUAGAUAUCGUAAGGAAGACCAGUGGCGAAGGCGGGUCUGCUGGACAGUUCCUGACGCUGAGGCACGAAGGCCAGGGGAGCAAACGGG
rnacentral:rRNA from 1 species